AGUGAACGCUGGCGGUAGGCCUAACACAUGCAAGUCGAACGGCAGCACAGUAAGAGCUUGCUCUUACGGGUGGCGAGUGGCGGACGGGUGAGGAAUACAUCGGAAUCUACUUUUUCGUGGGGGAUAACGUAGGGAAACUUACGCUAAUACCGCAUACGACCUACGGGUGAAAGCAGGGGAUCUUCGGACCUUGCGCGAUUGAAUGAGCCGAUGUCGGAUUAGCUAGUUGGCGGGGUAAAGGCCCACCAAGGCGACGAUCCGUAGCUGGUCUGAGAGGAUGAUCAGCCACACUGGAACUGAGACACGGUCCAGACUCCUACGGGAAGCAGCAGUGGGGAAUAUUGGACAAUGGGCGCAAGCCUGAUCCAGCCAUACCGCGUGGGUGAAGAAGGCCUUCGGGUUGUAAAGCCCUUUUGUUGGGAAAGAAAAGCAGCAGGUUAAUACCCCGCUGUUCUGACGGUACCCAAAGAAUAAGCACCGGCUAACUUCGCG
rnacentral:rRNA from 1 species